UACGUAGGGUGCGAGCGUUGUCCGGAAUUAUUGGGCGUAAAGGGCUCGUAGGCGGUUUGUCGCGUCGGGAGUGAAAACCUCGGGGCUUAACUCGGGGCUUGCUUUCGAUACGGGCAGACUAGAGGUAUGCAGGGGAGAACGGAAUUCCUGGUGUAGCGGUGAAAUGACGCAGAUAUCAGGAGGAACACCGGUGGCGAAGGCGGUUCUCUGGGCAUGAUCUGACGCUGAGGAGCGAAAGUGUGGGGAGCGAACAGG
rnacentral:rRNA from 1 species